rnacentral:rRNA from 1 species
UACGAAGGGGGCUAGCGUUGCUCGGAAUCACUGGGCGUAAAGCGCACGUAGGCGGCUUUUUAAGUCAGGGGUGAAAUCCUGGAGCUCAACUCCAGAACUGCCUUUGAUACUGGAGAGCUAGAGUCCGGAAGAGGUGAGUGGAACUGCGAGUGUAGAGGUGAAAUUCGUAGAUAUUCGCAAGAACACCAGUGGCGAAGGCGGCUCACUGGUCCGGUACUGACGCUGAGGUGCGAAAGCGUGGGGAGCAAACAGGG